rnacentral:misc_RNA from 1 species
GAUGAAAGAACGUAGCGAAAUGCGAUAAGUAGUGUGAAUUGCAGAAUUCAGUGAAUCAUCGAAUCUUUGAACGCACAUUGCGCCCCUUGGUAUUCCAUGGGGCAUGCCUGUUCGAGCGUCAUUUGUACCUUCAAGCUUUGCUUGGUGUUGGGUGUUUGUCUCGCCUUUGCGUGUAGACUCGCCUUAAAAUAAUUGGCAGCCGGCGUAUUGAUUUCGGAGCGCAGUACAUCUCGCGCUUUGCACUCAUAACGACAGCGUCCAAAAGUACAUUUUACACUCUUGACCUCGGAUCAGGUAGGGAUACCCGCUGAACUUAAGCAUAUCAAUAAGCGGAGGA